rnacentral:rRNA from 1 species
UACGAAGGGGCUAGCGUUGCUCGGAAUCACUGGGCGUAAAGGGUGCGUAGGCGGGUCUUUAAGUCAGGGGUGAAAUCCUGGAGCUCAAUUCCAGAACUGCCUUUGAUACUGAGGAUCUUGAGUUCGGGAGAGGUGAGUGGAACUGCGAGUGUAGAGGUGAAAUUCGUAGAUAUUCGCAAGAACACCAGUGGCGAAGGCGGCUCACUGGCCCGAUACUGACGCUGAGGCACGAAAGCGUGGGGAGCCAAACAGG